AUACGUAGGGGGCGAGCGUUGUCCGGAAUGAUUGGGCGUAAAGGGCGCGUAGGCGGCACGGUAAGUCUGGAGUGAAAGUCCUCCUCUUAAGGUGGGACUUGCUUUGGAAACUGUCGGGCUUGAGUGCAGGAGAGGUAAGUGGAAUUCCCAGUGUAGCGGUGAAAUGCGUAGAGAUUGGGAGGAACACCAGUGGCGAAGGCGACUUACUGGACUGUAACUGACGCUGAGGCGCGAAAGUGUGGGGAUCAAACAGGAUUAGAUACCCUGGUAGUCCACACUGUAAACGAUGAAUGCUAAGUGUAAGGGGUAUCGACCCCUUCUGUGCCGCAGUUAACACAAUAAGCAUUCCGCCUGGGGAGUACGGCCGCAAGGUUGAAACUCAAAUGAAUUGACGGGG
rnacentral:rRNA from 1 species